rnacentral:rRNA from 1 species
CAGUAGCCGCGGGAAUACGAAGGGGGCUAGCGUUGCUCGGAAUUACUGGGCGUAAAGGGAGCGUAGGCGGAUCGUUUAGUCAGGGGUGAAAUCCCGGGGCUCAACCUCGGAACUGCCUUUGAUACUGGCGAUCUUGAGUAUGGGAGAGGUGUGUGGAACUCCGAGUGUAGAGGUGAAAUUCGUAGAUAUUCGGAAGAACACCAGUGGCGAAGGUGACACACUGGCCCAUUACUGACGCUGAGGCUCGAAAGCGUGGGGAGCAAACAGGAUUAGAGACCCCAGUAGUCCCUGUCUCUUAUAC